AGAAACUUAGGAUAGAUCAAACCAAAGGCCUUCAAAGCCUUAAACAAGAGCUGAACCCUCUUAGUUUCUG
rnacentral:tRNA from 1 species